UCUCACAUCCAGGCUAGGACAGAUCCUCCUCUCCGAACACCCAACCCCAGGACCCUCCCCACCUUCUCUCUGAGCUCAGCUCCAGCCCCUUCCUUGGGGUGGAGGGGGAAAGAGGAGGUGGCUUAAUUAUAGAAUCCUAGAAACUCAGGCCCCCAGAGCUGAGCCAGAACUUAGAAACCAGAACCCCCUCCUUUUGCAACAGGAGGUGCAGAGAAGGAAGGGACUUAACCAGGGUGGCACAGCAAGGAGGCAGCUGAACUAGAACAUGCCGUUCUGUUUUCCCAUAGAAGUUGGAGUUGAUGUGUUGCCUUGAAGGGCUGAUAGAAAACCAUGGAGCUGCUCCCUCUAAGGACUUGAUCCUGUAUGAAUCCUUACCCACCCAGUUUAUAGGUGAAUAAACUGAGGCCCUGAGAGGUUACGUCUAACACUCGUGUUUUUAUAACUGCUCUGAAAAUACCUGUUGAACGGAUGGAUCUCAAAGAGCAGAGACCACCUUUUACUCUCUUCAUGCUCCCUUUUCUCCAACCAGGAACUGAGGCCUGGUUUUUUUCAGAGUUCUUCCUGGAAGAGGGGAUGAGGGCAAUUUGGGGUCAUGUGGCUAGAGAAAGAGGAGAUAAGAGAGGGAAUGAAUGCCAAAGUGCUGAUCCCACUGACCCCCUAGCUUGGGUCGGAGGCUGCAUAGUCAGAGGCAUAAAUGUGAACAAUGCAGAUCCCUGCCCAGUCCUUCUCCGGGGGUGGAUUGAAAAAUGAAAGAAGCAAGGCCCCUCCUACGAGUACAUGUCUCGGAGCACACGUGGAAAUGCAGGUCUGCACAGACAGCUCCCUGGAGUGGCAGCUCCACAGAGGAUAAAAGCAUUCUUUAAAAACUGUCUGGUCGCUGUCCAAGCACCACAACUGAGAACGUUCUGUGGGGGGCAAAGGCAGAAGCCGGGGGACACGAGAGGAGGCUGCUGCAGUAACCCAGACUUCCAGGUGGAGAUGCUGACAGGCCAGUGGAUACGGCAGCUGGGGCUGAGGGAGCGAGCUGAGUGGCACCUACACACCGGGUGUAAUCAGCAAGCGGAUGGGAUUGCCCGUGGUCACCUAGCGAGUGAGUGUAGACAGAAAAGAGGAGUGACCCGGGACGAAGUUCUGGGACCCUCCAGCGUACGGGAGGAGCUGAGGUGGACACAGCAGAGGAGACUGAAGGAGCCACGAGAGGAGGAAACUGAGGCCCAGAAGAGGUUAGACCUUGCACCCAAGGUUGCACAGAUAAAGAGCAA